rnacentral:rRNA from 1 species
CCUACGGGGGGCAGCAGUAGGGAAUCUUUCACAAUGGGCGAAAGCCUGAUGGAGCAACGCCGCGUGCAGGAUGAAGGCCUUCGGGUUGUAAACUGCUUUUAUAAGCGAGAAAUAUGAUGGUAACUUAUGAAUAAGGAUCGGCUAACUACGUGCCAGCAGCCGCGGUCAUACGUAGGAUCCGAGCAUUAUCCGGAGUGACUGGGUGUAAAGAGUUGCGUAGGUGGCAUAAUAAGUAGCUAGUGAAAUCUGGUGGCUCAACCAUUCAGACUAUUAGCGAAACUGUUAAGCUCGAGACCGUUAGGGGUAACUGGAAUGUCUAGUGUAGGAGUGAAAUCCGUAGAUAUUAGAAGGAACACCAAUAGCGUAGGCAGGUUGCUGGGACGGUUCUGACACUAAGGCACGAAAGCGUAGGGAGCAAACGGGAUUAGAUACCCCAGUAGUC